GCGGGAAUAGCUCAGUUGGUAGAGCACGACCUUGCCAAGGUCGCGAGUUCGAGUCUCGUUUCCCGCUCCA
rnacentral:tRNA from 2 species